CAGAGACUUGGCACAGCGUGUGACGUCAAGUGAACUCAGUUCUGAUAACCUAGGCAAUAACUCUGCAGCUAUUCUCUGGAGUACCUGUGUCUGGUGAAAAUUCAGCUUACCUUUUUUUGAGAGAAAAUAUGAGAAAACACAAUUAGUUUGUCCAUGAGAGAUGGGGAGAGGAGUGAGGCACGGCUCAUGAGAAUGGUGAUGGUACGAGGAUCACACAGCUCAGUCCAGCGCAGCUCAAGCUGUUUCAGCAGGGUUUUGGUAAAGGAGUAUAAGGAGCUCACCCUGUCAUGUCUGCACUUAAAGACGAAGAUUUGCCCGAGCCCCAAGGUAAAUUUUAAGGUUAUAAGACGAAAAUAAGUAGGUAUUCAUUAAGAGCACCAGCAGGUGGCGACAUUGACUAGUUUAUAGUGCAGUUCUCGCCUGUUCAGUGAAAUCACUAUUGGCCAGCGAAGUCUGUUGUUCCAAAUGAAAUUUUACAUUAUUAUUGUGUGAUGAAAAUAGACAUAGAGCAAUUACUUUAUCAAAAAGCAGUCUUUAUUGAAAUCAUAUUUGGGAAAGUCUACUGAUUUGUAAGCUCAGCCACAAAGCUCAAUUUUUUUUCCUGUACUGAACAAUAUACAGUAACUGAUUGAAAAGAUCAAAUCUUUCGUUAACCGCUCCAGUAGUGUUAUUCCUAAUCAGAACAGGAUGCACAUGCACAAUAGAGGUCUAUUUUGAGUUCAGUAAUAGACUGAAAGCAGCGAAAAGUGAAAUCCACAUUUUGCAUCAUUUUGCGAAACAUAAUUUCCAAGAACAUAGAGAAUUAUACAAUCUGUUCACUCAGAAAGAUGUCCUAAAAAUACGUUGUUUCCGAAGGUAGUUAGACUCAUUUAUUUAUUUAUUCUACAUUUAAUUGAUUAUUAGGUCUCAUUAGGUGAUUAUUAUGGGAUAUUUUGGUUGUGUAAUACAGGGUUUUUAGAUAUAGUUAUAGUAAGUAUAAUUUCCUCCGGUACAGUGAAGAAGUUAUAGUCUUUUCAGAUGGUGCUGUAUGAAAAGGUCAAAGUGGAUUUUGACAUAGUGCUUUCAAACUGUAGGAUCAUUUAGGAAAAUGUAGUGUGUUGUAGGUCUAAGGUGAGAUAUUCACAGUGAUUUGACUGCAUCAGGGGCCAGAAUACAGGAAUUUGGGAUCUGGUAAAUUCCCUGUGGAAUGUAUAAUGUUAAGUUAGAUGCUACAAUAUGUCAGCAUCGUAACAUCUUAAGGAAGUUCAGAUUUGGAGUGAUCACAAAAGAAAGAGCAUUAAAUAUUGCCAGCUUUCUUGUUUAAACGGGUCAUAUGACAGACAAGGAAGGAGGAAAAUGGUUACAUUUCUUACAGGGCUGUUCUUUUUUUAAUGAAUUUUAAGAGAAUGAAAAGGGCAAGUGAAAACAUUUUCAGCAAUGAGAAGGCUCAAUCGGAGGUGAAUGGAGAAGGUAAACUUUUAGAGGCAGUGCAGUGUGCAGCAGCUCUGUUAACUACUUUAUUCUUGUAAGUGGCACUUUCUUCAGAGAGAGAGAGAGAGAGAGAGAGAGAGAGAGAGACAAAAAGAAGAGAGAGUUACAGUCAUAGAUUGAACCUUUAUGUUAUGAUUUACACACCAUUCCAUCAGCUCUACUCAGCGCACAUACUCAUCUGGUUAAUGGUGUGCUUUACAUUAAUGACAGCCCCUUUUUUAUUAUCUUAAAUGCACACAUCAGAACUUUGGCAUGCUUCAUGGUAAGUCAAGUCAGAUUUGAUUUGCGUAGGCUGAACAUCAUCUACGGAUAUGUACCUCAAGGUGCUUCAAAGACAGCUAACUCAGAAGCCCUUAAGAUACAAUUUGUGUAAUGUCUCAUGCUGUUUGAAAAAAGGGCUAUUUUGGACAACCUUUUAAAACUCUUUUUAUAUAUCAAGACUGAGCUAAGUUCAUACCAAAGGGACUCUGACAUACUGAUUUAACUGAGAGGGUAAAUCUGUAAAAGGCUUUAAAGAUCACAGUCAAUGGAAUACUAAAUCCAUUUAAGAGUCUUUCACCCCUGGAGACAGGCUAGGUCCACACUUAAUAUUAGCCCACUGACCUCUGCAUCGUUUGGCUUAAAUUAAAUUAACCAAUUUAUACCGUAAGUAUGAAACAAUUGUUUGUGUGUGUGUGUGUGUGUGUGUGUGUGUGUGAGAGAGAGAGAGAGAAGAGCAAGUGCUUGUGAUCGUAAACUCUUUACCUAAGAAAGACACACAGUUCUGUCAACACUUUUUCAAAAAUAUUAAUAACAUAACUUAAAAUCUAUUUAUUGAUUUAUUAUAAGUAUGAAUCAAUUUAAACAUUUAAUCAUACGUGAUCAUAUAACUUUUUGAUGACUGUGUUGAAUUUCACUUGGACUUUGUGCAAUAUAAUUAAAUUCUCAUUUCUCCCUUUGUGAUCAACAGAAGAAAGAAAGUCAUACUGUUUUGGAAUGACACGAGGGAGAGUAAAUGAAGACAGAAUUUUCAUUUUUGGGUGAACUAUCUCUUUAAGUCAAGAAGUGUACUGGUUUAGUAUUUCCAAUAAAUAAAUAAAUCUGUAAAAAAUUUCCAAUAAAUAUUUUUUUAAUAACUCACCAGUCGGAUGUCCUGCAGAUGUUUUGUUUGGUCACUCUCUGCAGUGUACAAAGGCUUUUGCAUUUUGCAGUAUAGCUGGUGUGUAUGUGAUUGUGUAUGUGUGCAUUUACGCUGUAUUUUUUGUGUUUCGCAUUGUCCUUUUGGUUAUGGUGACCAAACACACUCUUACACCCCCAGAUUGCUUUUCUUGGGUAAUGUGAAAGCAAUGUAUAGGCUUCAUCUCCACUGGAGCGAAUCAGACCCCAUUCUUUUAUUCAUCCUCUUUUUGCUCUAUCUCUCUUUUUUCAACUCUCACUCCCUGUAUUGUUGUAUCACCACCUCUAACUGUAAGGUUUCUGUUCCCUCACCUCAUCUCCUGUCUAUCUCAGUCUGGCAUUGACAAGUUCCAUUAUACUGUGAUGAUGGCUCUGAGAGCCUUCUGAAUUGGCAUUCAAAAGUUUGUCGUUUUUGUGUAUCUUUUAUUUUUCUUUCAUCACAACUUUAUUUUUCUGUCCCUAGAUGGCAUGGCUCUUUGUGACCUGUUUGGUGAGAAUUCAGACAGGAAGAUGUCAGCCCUGAAUUUCAAUUACUCUGCAAUGGCAUGCCUUGUUGAAAAGGCAAUGAUUGAAAAGAAUGAUUUCACUAGAAUAUGUUGUGUUUUGGAUGCUGGUCCCCAGUAUGGGAUGCUGGUGUGCUGGUGUCGCAAAUAGGCUCUAGGAAUAGUUCACCCAAAAACUAAAAUUCUUUCAUCAUUUCCCACCUUCAUGUUGUUCUGAACCCGUAUGACUUUCUUUCUUCUGUGGAACACAAAAGAAGAUGUUAGGCAGAAUGUUAACCUCAGUUAUUAUCAGCUAGACCAGCACAAACCAGCAUUAAUUUCCAUGCUUGUCCAAGCUGGUAUUUCCAGCAGGGUACUCACUCAAAAUAUGUGUUGAGAAAUAUUUUCACCGUACUGUAUGUUCUCUCUAAUCAGGAUUUAUUACUGCUGUUUAUCAUUUUCUGCUGUCAAGCUGAAAGUAACAGUAGUGAUAAAACAAAGUUUUGUGCAUGUUCCACCUGCAGUCCAUUACAUAUCUGCUGUUUUUCCUCACAUCAUUGGAAGAAUUCAUUGGUGUCUACUGUCUAUGAAUGAGCCAGUAUGGCAGGAGUUGAUUUAGACACUGUGGCUGUUCCCAAGGAAAUCAUUCUUUUUAAGCCAGAGGUUUUAAAAAGAGUGACUCUUAAAGUCAUUGUAUUUAAGUGGAUCUACUAAAGUGAAGCCAAAACUCUAUUAAUACUGUGUAACUGUGGUGUUUUAUAAUGCUGUUCCGGAAUAUAAGUGGGUUGCUUCUAAUUACUCAAAUCAUGUUUUGUUUUGUUGUUUUUUUUUAGAUUAAUGACUUACUACUUUUAUGCAACCAGGAGCUUUACUCAGUCUAUAAAUAAAUUAAAAAGAUCUACAGUACUAUGCAAAUGUUUUAGGCAGUUGUGAAAAAUGUUGUCAUUUUCAAAAAUAAUUCCAUGAAUAAUUUUUAUUUAUCAAUUAACUUCAUACAAAGUGCAGUGAACAUAAAAUUAUUAUUAUUAUUUUUUUUCAUGGUUAUUGGCAGAUAGGUUGUUCCAAGCAUCUUGAAGAACUUGCUACAGUUCUAUUUAUUUAGGCUGUCUCAGUUAUUUCUGUCUCUUCAUGCAAUCUCAGACUGACUCGAUGUUGAGAUUAGGGCUCUGUGGGGGCCAUACCAUCUCAUCUGUUGCAAGACUCCUUAUUCUACUUCUAUUUUAUUAUUUUUUGGCAAAAGGAAUUUGGGACUAUAAAAUUGAUAUUCCCUAUAUUGACACACUAAAGCAAAAGAUGUAAAAUAACCAUCUUAAGACAAAUGUUUUUGUGAAACAUCUAAUAAGCAUUAGCCUUUUGCACACACUAUGUAGGCCUAUUUAAAAUAUAAGUCAUGCACCUAUUUUUUGAGGGGGCCCCAGUGGCAGUCUACUGUGUACUUGCUUUUUGGGGGCCUUAAGUAAAACUUUGUGAUAGGGGCCCCAUCAGAGUGUUUGUAACCUCCAAAACGAUUCCCCCACCCCUUAAGCCUUUCUUGCAGAUAAUUGUUUAAGUAAAUCAACAUACAGGGAACAGGGAAUAUUAAGAAACAUUAAUAUAAUUAUAUAAUUAUAAUAUAUAUUAACAUAAUCUUUACUUUUUAUACUGACAACAAGCCAGUGGUAUCCAUGGUUUCAAAUUUCAAUAAAUUAAAGGAAAAGGAACAUAAGGCCAGUUUAUUCUGGCUGUACUUACCGGGGUCUGUGCUAUCUUACUGAUGAAUGUGAGAAUUUUCCCUUAGGGCAGAUAAAAAAACAAUUUGAUUCUUCAUUUAAAAUGGCCUAACAUUAAUGUCAACAAAAACAACUAUUGAUUUUAAAAAUAUAUUACUAAAGUAUAUAUUGAAAUUAACAUUAACUAAGAUUAAUAAAUGCUUAAAAAGUAUUGUUUAUUGUUAGUUCAUGUUAACUAAUGUUGUUAACUAAUUUGAACAAAUGGAACCUUAUUGUGAAGUGUUACCGCUAAGGUUACAUUAAUGACAAAGUAUUUUGACUUUUUAUAAACUAUAAACUUUUUUAUUUUAUUUUCUAAAACAUAAAAAAGAUCAAACAUAAUAAAACAAUGAACAAGAGUAAAUAAAUACAGGCUUAAAGACAGAUAGAAACAUAUUAAAAUAGCUGUAAAACAAAUGAACAAUAAAAUAAAUGAAAUCAAAUUUUGAUUGACAGCUAAAUGCUUGCAGAAAAUAACGCACUAGCACCAUCUAGCUUUCUGAAAAAUGAUAACAUGCAUAUUAGAGAUUUUCACAACUGAAUGCUUUUCCAAUGGUAUAAUUUACCGAAAAACAUGAAAUAUAUUUUUUGUCUCUGGAAAUAUGAAGUAAACAUAUGAGAAUACAUCAAUAUUUCACUAAAUGUGCAAACUCUGGACUAAAUGUUCUAAUAGAUAUUGUUUGUUGAAGCACUGACAUUACAUUCAGCAGAGCUUGCAUGAUUGAACAGGUAUGUGCGUCACCGGUCCUACUCGACCCACCUGAGUGGGAUUCGAACUGGCGAUUCCCGGCAUGGGAGUCGAACUCGCUAGCAACGAGGCUUUAAAAGCCAUGGCCUUUAGCCCCUCUCGUCUCUUAAUGCUAAGAGAGUGAGGUUUACACACUGCACAGCUUUUACGUACCAGCUGGUUAUCAUUACAUGUGCUUCUUUAUUACAUUCUAAAUAAAAAUGUCACGUUUUGAUUUUGCAUGCUUUGAUGUGUACUCCUGAUACAAAUGGAAAUGGAAAUCAUGCCUUAAUAAUGAUUAAAAUUGCCUUAAAAAUAGUACAUAAGCAAACUGUUAUUUUCUAUUAUUAUUGAAUGAGGGAUGUCUGCCACAGAGUUUU